UUGUAUGGGAACUGUUACAUCAUAGCUGAACCAGUGAUUGAACACCUGGUGAAGGGGUGUAGAUAGCCCUGGGACUACAGGUGGAAGCAAUUCAACUACGCAAUGUGAAAAAGUGGAGCCAGGGUCCACUGCAGUCUAACCUCAUUUAAGGGCUGUCAGGAAGGAGCACCUGUAAUUAGAGAUCAUCUUCUUUGGAGUGCUUGGUGAGCCCUGAUCCUUGGAAAGGGGGAAAUUGUGGAAACAGUGACUCAUCUCUUCAAUAAUUUACGCAGGAUAAUUUCUUGAAAAGCAAGAUCAGCAAGGGCUUUUUCUUCUGAUUGCAGAGGAUUUGGUUAUAUAUUUUUGAAUACUCAGAAAGCAAGUUCCAGAAAACCACAGUGAAAAAUGUUAUUGAAAUAAAGCUCAGUCAUGAGGAAGUAUUGGAUUCUCUUGGUGUGUCCUGUUUAAAGCUAGAUCCAAGGAUCUAAGUAUCUUGCAUGACUCAGCUGAGUCAUCCAAAGGCCUUACUGUGCAGUACUGAGGUGAUACUCAUGGGCAUAUGCCCCCAGAAGAAAGACACUCAUUAUGAAAUACCUAACUUCAAAACCACAAGCUGUCUGAAUUUUGGUUUCUUUUUCCUUUUAAUAAACUGCCACAACAUUUAAUUAUCUUUUCUAGCUUGUUUCUUUGACCUGUAUUAAACUAACCAGGCACAAAAUUUUAUUAUCUCAGUUGAUAAUAGAUAUUUAAUUUCCAUUGGUUAUCCUGAAAUUUUUACACUUAUAUUCAAGCUUAUUGCUGUGUAUUUGCUGUAUGCAGCAAAUGAUUACUACAGAAAGUGAUUGGACAUCAGUAUUUACUGUGUUAGAGCUUUGCUCUGUAUGAUUUUUCUUGUCUGUAAACCUGUUAUAUGUGCAACAGAUUUAUUGCACUGAGCUAGCCUGAAAUUUUGGAACCAGAAAAUGUGUCAGUAGCACUUGUGGGAGAUGGAUAGCUGAAUAAAAAUGAAAUGCUAGUGAAAAGAAGGAAAUGCAUGCAAAAUUCCUGAUUUUUUCAACACUGUGUCACCAUUAAGACUUCUGCAUGUGAGUCUUCUUUUUGUUGAAUUUAACGCACAUACAAAGCAGUCUGGGCUACUGACCCAGCUACAUGAUGUUGACUGUAUUACAGGACUGGCGCAUGUUUCAUUUUCUCCCAUGCAAGUACUUCAGCAUAUUUCAAUAAAGAAUAACUUCCUGGUGGUGACAGAGAUAGCCUAGAGAUAGUGUAAACAGUCUGAACUCUUUCUACAAAAUCAAUUUCUGAGUUAUGUUUACUAUGUCAAGUUAGAUAGAUUUGUAGGAUAUAGAAUUAUCUUCUUGUCUGUGAUUGAAAAUGCUUUGCAGCUGGAUGCUUCUUCUAUGAACACUGCACAGCAAAUUGUCAAGAUCCCACUUGUACUUUAGUCAAGAUCUCUUUCUUAAUUUGAAGACUAGAAACAUCUGUGUGUCUAAUUUGAAAUAUAUUGAAAGAAAAAUUAUGUAGUUUGCUCAGGAAAAUAUC